rnacentral:lncRNA from 1 species
GGAGCCCUUGCCUGGGCUGGCUGGGUGGGAAAUAGUCUCGCGCCCAGCGGAAUCACAGGGUGUCUGUUUGUGCAGGCGCCCUGGGGAUCCCCCGUUGUACUGGGCGCCAAGGGGCGGAGCUUCGUGAGGGAGUGCUCAUUGGCUAGGCAGCCACGGGGUCUCCCGGGGCCCGCGGGCCACAGGGCUGGCUGGGCGGGAACUGAGGCCUCACUGGGGACCUGUUUGCGCAGGCGUCUUGGGGUCGAGUCAUGCACGAAGAGCCGCUGGAGAGCUGAAGAUUCUCGCCUCCUCCGAAUUUCCAUCAUCAACUUUCUUGACCAGCUUUCCCUGGUGGUGCGGACCAUGCAGCGCUUUGGGCCCCCUGUUUCCCGCUAAGCCUCGGCUGGGGAGAGGGGGCUAAGGUCUAACCUUGUGUCCUGUCCUGGUCAGUGUACCCUCCCUAGGUUCCCGCAGUAGUUGCCACUUUCUUACAGGAGCCUAAUCCUUGGCUGUAUGGCCCUUGGGCGCUCAGGGUCCACUUGUUUUGUUUGGUGCUUAAAUGUUUGUUACAGCAGAAAAUAAAACUGAGCUACUGUUCCGUGUCUGAGUUCCUUUUCAGCUACUGCACCUCCUAAUAUUCUUGCUUUUGUCCUCAGGUUGGAGGGCAGGUUCGGGAUUCAGAUGGUCCAGUAGUGCUAGGCAAUUGAAGACAAUUUAGGAAAUGGAAGAAGAUGGGUCCUGUCAUUCACUAUUAACUACUGUCAACAUCUUGGAAUAUUUUCUUAGUUUUAUAGUUAAAUUUGUAUAGUAAAUAUUUAACAAUAAUAGAUGAUACAUAGUAUCUUGCAAGUUUAGGAUUUUUCCUGAUAUUUUUCAUCUAACGUGAACUUUUUAUAAAAAUUCUCAAAAGCAUUAUUGAAUAAAUGCAUAAAAGAUAAAUUAUGAUGUAAUUAUUGAACAUUUAAAUUAUUUUCAAUUUUUGCCAUAUUAUAGGUAAUGAUUCAAUGGAAUUCUUGUAUAUAGAUCUUUGCAUGAAUGAUGGUUUGCUUAAGAUUAUAAGAGGUAGGAUUACCACGUUCAAUAUUUACUAUUUUUUUAAAGCUCUCAACGUACGGUGCAAAAUUGCUCUCCAGAGAAUGUGCCUUCUCAACAAAAUGUUGGUUUCCCACAUCGUUGUCACCACUGGGUCACCUCAGCAAAAUUUUUUAAAAACUUAGUUUGCAUGAGAACAACAAAAAUACCCCAAAAAUUCUGGAGUAGGAGCCUUGUGGCUUCCUGGCCUAGUCUCAGAUCAGUGAAGAGAAAGUGGUGGGACAACUGUUUAAGCCUUUUGUUGGAAGAAGUUAGCUCCCUGUAAAAUAUGUUGUAGCCUGCAGCCUUGCUAAA